GCCGGGUGCCGUGGUCCACGCCUGUAAUCCUGGCAGCUCGGGAGGCUGAGGCAGGAGGAUCGCAAGUUCAAAGCCAGCCCAGUAAAAGCAAGGCGCUAAACAACUCAGUGAGACCCUGUCUCUA
rnacentral:sRNA from 1 species